UUGGAGGGCAAGUCUGGUGCCCGCAGCCGCGGUAAUUCCAGCUCCAAUAGCGUAUAUUAAAGUUGUUGCAGUUAAAAAGCUCGUAGUUGAAUUUCGGGGUUCUACCGUUGGUCGGGCUUUGUCUGUACUGGUGUGUAGAAUUUCUACCUUCUGGGGAACCAUCAUGCUAUUAAUUUAGCGUGGUGGGAAACCAGGACCUUUACCUUGAAAAAAUUAGUGUGUUCAAAGCAGGCUUAUGUCUGAAUACAUUAGCGUGGAAUAAUAGAAUAGGACGGUGGUCCCGUUUUGUUGGUUUCUGAAUCACCGUAAUGAUUAAUAGGGAUAGUUGGGGGCAUUAGUAUUCAAUUGUCAGAGGUGAAAUUCUUGGAUUUAUUGAAGACUAACUUCUGCGAAAGCAUUUGCCAAGGAUGUUUUCAUUAAUCAAGAACGAAAGUUAGGGGAUCGAAGACGAUCAGAUACCGUCGUAGUCUUAACCAUAAAUUAUGCCGACUAGGGAUCGGAUGAUGUUAAUUUUUUAAUGACUCAUUCGGCGCCUUACGGGAAAC
rnacentral:rRNA from 1 species